GGCGGCAUAGCCAAGAGGCAAGGCAGAGGUCUGCAAAACCUUUAUCCCCAGUUCAAAUCUGGGUGCCGCCUCCA
rnacentral:tRNA from 2 species